CCUACGGGAGGCAGCAGUGGGGAAUUUUCCGCAAUGGGCGAAAGCCUGACGGAGCAACGCCGCGUGGGGGAUGAAGGCCUCUGGGCUGUAAACCCCUUUUCUCAAGGAAGAAGACCUGACGGUACUUGAGGAAUAAGCCACGGCUAAUUCCGUGCCAGCAGCCGCGGUAAUACGGGAGUGGCAAGCGUUAUCCGGAAUUAUUGGGCGUAAAGCGUCCGCAGGCGGCCUAUUAAGUCUGUCGUUAAAGCGUGGAGCUCAACUCCAUUUAAGCGAUGGAAACUGGAAGGCUAGAGUGUGGUAGGGGCAGAGGGAAUUCCCGGUGUAGCGGUGAAAUGCGUAGAUAUCGGGAAGAACACCAGUGGCGAGGGCGCUCUGCUGGGCCAUAACUGACGCUCAUGGACGAAAGCCAGGGGAGCGAAAGGGAUUAGAUACCCCUGUAGUCCUGGCCGUAAACGAUGAACACUAGGUGUCGGGGGAAUCGACCCCUCGGUGUCGUAGCUAACGCGUUAAGUGUUCCGCCUGGGAGUACGCACGCAAGUGUGAAACUCAAAGGAAUUGACGG
rnacentral:rRNA from 1 species